GUUAUACUCCCUCCGUCCGGAAAUACUUGUCAUCAAAAUGGGUAAAAGGGAUGUAUCUAGAUACAUCCCUUUUUGUCCAUUUUGAUGACAAGUAUUUUCCGACAGAGGGAGUAUAUA
rfam:Triticum aestivum genome assembly, contig: Triticum_aestivum_CS42_TGACv1_scaffold_093031_2AL